rnacentral:rRNA from 1 species
UCCAGACUCCUACGGGAGGCAGCAGUGGGGAAUAUUGCACAAUGGGGGGAACCCUGAUGCAGCGACGCCGCGUGAAGGAAGAAGUAUCUCGGUAUGUAAACUUCUAUCAGCAGGGAAGAAAGAGGACGGUACCUGACUAAGAAGCCCCGGCUAACUACGUGCCAGCAGCCGCGGUAAUACGUAGGGGGCAAGCGUUAUCCGGAUUUACUGGGUGUAAAGGGAGCGUAGGUGGCAGGGCAAGUCAGAUGUGAAAACCCGGGGCUCAACCCCGGGAGUGCAUUUGAAACUGUCCAGCUGGAGUGCAGGAGAGGUAAGCGGAAUUCCUAGUGUAGCGGUGAAAUGCAUAGAUAUUAGGAGGAACACCAGUGGCGAAGGCGGCUUACUGGACUGUAACUGACACUGAGGCUCGAAAGCGUGGGGAGCAAACAGGAUUAGAUACCCUCGUA